UGUGCCUGCCGUUUGUAUCUUUAACUGUCGUUCCAUAUAAUACCCAUUUGUACAUAUAUUUAUAAAUCUGUGUAUUUUCUUUCAUGUGCUGCCAAAUAGUAGAUCAUGGAGUACUAUUUAACGACCUAGGACUAAGUGACUCUUGACGCUUUGAAAUACCCGAAAUUAUGAUUGAAAUAUAACUCUACUUAAAAUUAUAAAAAGAAAGGCUUCUUGAAGAGAAAGACUUGAAAGACUGACCUCCAAUCACUGAAGGAAGAGCCUGAAAAUAUCGAGUCGAAGUAAGGAUAUCUGCCAGAUCAAAAAGACUUGUUCAUAGUUGCACGUGUUCUUUCAUGUUCCUGCUCCCUCCUUGCAGUCCUUGUGGAACACAAAACACUAUGUAAAGCCCAUUCUAUAAAGCAACCACAAGGUAGUAUUAUUGUGAGGAAUUUUUGUGGAAUUGGGACUCCGUUGAAACCUAUUGGACGUGCCCUCAACACACCAUCGCAGAAUGGGGUAAGC
rnacentral:sRNA from 1 species